rnacentral:rRNA from 1 species
UCCAGAGGUGGCAAGCGUUGUUCGGAAUUACUGGGCGUAAAGGGCGCGUAGGCGGCCUUCUAAGUCAGACGUGAAAUCCCCCGGCUUAACCUGGGAACUGCGUCUGAUACUGGAGGGCUUGAGUGCGGGAGAGGGAUGUGGAAUUCCAGGUGUAGCGGUGAAAUGCGUAGAUAUCUGGAGGAACACCGGUGGCGAAGGCGGCAUCCUGGACCGACACUGACGCUGAGGCGCGAAAGCUAGGGUAGCAAACGGG